rnacentral:rRNA from 1 species
GACGAACGCUGGCGGCGUGCUUAACACAUGCAAGUCGAACGGAAAGGCCCUGCUUUUGUGGGGUGCUCGAGUGGCGAACGGGUGAGUAACACGUGAGUAACCUGCCCUUGACUUUGGGAUAACUUCAGGAAAUGGGGCUAAUACCGGGUAGGAGCUCCUGCUGGAUGGUGGGGGUUGGAAAGUUUUGGCGGUUUGGGUUGGACUCGCGGGUUUUCAGCUUGUUGGUGGGGUAGUGGCUUACCAAGGCUUUGACGGGUAGCCGGCCUGAGAGGGUGACCGGCCACAUUGGGACUGAGAUACGGCCCAGACUCCUACGGGAGGCAGCAGUGGGGAAUAUUGCACAAUGGGCGGAAGCCUGAUGCAGCAACGCCGCGUGCGGGAUGACGGCCUUCGGGUUGUAAACCGCUUUCGCCUGUGACGAAGCGUGAGUGACGGUAAUGGGUAAAGAAGCACCGGCUAACUACGUG